rnacentral:lncRNA from 1 species
AGCCGAGGGAGGAGGCUGCAGUUCCCCGAGAGCGAGCGUAGCGGGGACCCUGCGUCCCUGUCAGCGCACCUUCCCGCUCCGCGAAGGUCCGAAGCGUGUGGGCGGGGCCGCAGGAGUUUGCCAGGAGGGUGUCCCUGUCGCUGUCCGCAGUCCACCGCCAGAGGGGGGGGGCGGGGCAACGGCCGGGCAGCGUCUGGGCGGCGGCGCGCGCGCGCGGGGAGAGGAGAGGAGCGCGCGGCUGCUGGGCCGCCGUCCUGGGAGGCGUGGGAGGCGUCGGCGAGCCGCGCCUGCCUGCCCAGAGCCGAGCCCGGCGGAGUCCGGCCGCGCUGUGCUGCUCUCUCCCGGGCCGGGCUCGUCCGUUCCCCCGGCGUCCGUGGACGCCGCUCCGGUCCCCGCUGGGCACAGCAGCCCGGGCCUCACGCCACGGCCGCUAGCCUGAGGAGGCCGUCCUUCAGCUCCCGCUCUUCCUGCUCGCCGGACACGGACGACCAGGGCGCCGCGAAGAGGAUUCCAUCUGAGAGAGGUACCUGGGGGGCGUGGGCCUGGGGGCUGGUGGGAGGCGAGCGUGUCCCUGAGGAAUAGGCUUGUGCGCCAGAGGUGCCCGUCAGGUCGCGGGACAGCUGUGCGGCGCGGGGAGCGAGGGGGUCUCUUCGUGCGCUUAGGCGUUCGUGGAACGGGCGGUGUGUGCCGGGCACGGGGCCAGCCUGGGCGUGCGGUGCCCGGGAGUCGGGCGCUGAAGCGCCACCCGUGGUCUGGCUUCUUGGAAGGACAGACGCGAAGUCGAUAAGGACACUGGUCUCGAGGCGUUCUGAGGAGUGCGGGUCUCCCUCUUUUCGAGGCUACGUUCCGUUGGGGUUUUCACGAAGCCUGUUGUGGCCUGAAGCUCAGGCCGGUUCAGGGGAAGUGGCCUGUCGAGGGCCACGUAAGAUUUGUGUGCAGAGCCAGUGCUUUCCAAAGCCCUUGACUGUGCAGAAGUCUACCUGUUAGGGGUGCAGUGGGGGCUGUCCGGGGAGCGUUGUGAGCAGAGGUAUGUGCACCACACUUGAAAGCAUGGAAGAGAAAGCGUGAGGCUGGAGGGUGCUCCGUUCGUUCCCUCCUUGCACAGAAAGUCUGGAGAGUUGACUUUGGGACAAGUCCUUCCUUUCCUCUGGUCGGUGCGUGUUCAGUGGUCUGGACACUUGGUGAGCAAGACUGACAGGCUGUUUGACGUACUGGCCCUCACAGCCUGGUGGGAAAGGACAGACAGGCAGCCUCCAAUUACCUAGGAGAUACGUAAAAGCAAUUUUGUGUUGAGUGUUGAGAAAGACGGCAUUUCCUGUUAGACUUGGUGACUUAGGCAGUGAUGUUGAAGCUGAGAGCAGAUGCCUAAAAGAAAAGGAGGACCUGGGCGGGAGAGUGUUGGGACAGGGCAAGGGAGGAGUAGGGCCUGUCAGAGGAGCUGAAAGCAUGCCCUGGAGACUGGGGCCGCCGCGUAGGGACUGUAGGGUGGGGAAAAGAAAACUUUUCGAUUGAGGCUGGCGCUUUCUCUAGGUUUUUGGGGACUAAGCGUGGUGAUUCAGAACGUGGACUCUGGAGCCAGACUCUGUCACAUGGGUCCUGGCUAUGCCACCUACGGGCUGUGUGAACUCGGGCAAGUUACUGUACCAUUCUGUGUGUCAGUUUCCUGAUCUGUAAAACGGGGAUGAUUAUCAUACACACUCCAUAGGUGAGUGUAAAGGUGAGAGGAUAUUUCAUAUCCGUAAAGUACUUAGAGCAGUGUCUGGCCUUUAGCAGGCGUUAGUAGUGGUUGAUUAAAGAAAAUGGCUAAAUGCAUACCUAAGUAUUCAAGGCUUGGAGGCUGUCCCUGGUGAAACGUGUGAACUUGAAUGGAUUACACCCAACUUUGUUUUGUUUCCUUUCCGGCUUGCAGUUGCUACUGACCGCAUCUGCAGCACUGUGGAAUUAGAAAUAAUCUGCCUCGACUUGGCUGCUCUUGGUAAAACAAUCUAAUGCUGUCCAAAUUAUCCCAGGGAAAUAAAAGCCUUUUCAGUAGCA